GUGGCCGUUCCCCCCAACUCGUUACCAUAACCAGAUUUGGGCUUCAUGGAGCAUAAUGGACCCACAGCCAUCUCCUUCCCCAACACCAACUCUGCCUGCAUUUUAGGCCAGGUUUGUAGGAGAGUUGAAUGAAGAUUGAAUGAAUGAAUGAUGAAAAGUACAAAAUGCCAUCACUUCACUUCUUUCAGGAAGACCCAGGACACUCUGCUGCAUCCUCC
rnacentral:lncRNA from 1 species